UCUGGUGGUAAUAGCGAAGAGGUCACACCUGUUCCCAUGCCGAACACAGUAGUUAAGCUCUUCAGCGCCGAUGGUAGUUGGGUUCGCCCCGUGAGAGUAGGACACUGCCAGGC
rfam:Terribacillus aidingensis strain MP602, complete genome.